GUUUGAUCAUGGCUCAGGAUGAACGCUAGCGGGAGGCCUAACACAUGCAAGCCGAGCGGUAGAGAUUCUUCGGAAUCUUGAGAGCGGCGCACGGGUGCGGAACACGUGUGCAACCUACCUUUAUCAGGGGGAUAGCCUUUCGAAAGGAAGAUUAAUACCCCAUAAUAUAUUAGAUGGCAUCAUUUAAUAUUGAAAACUCCGGUGGAUAGAGAUGGGCACGCGCAAGAUUAGAUAGUUGGUAGGGUAACGGCCUACCAAGUCAAUGAUCUUUAGGGGGCCUGAGAGGGUGAUCCCCCACACUGGUACUGAGACACGGACCAGACUCCUACGGGAGGCAGCAGUGAGGAAUAUUGGACAAUGGGUGAGAGCCUGAUCCAGCCAUCCCGCGUGAAGGACGACGGCCCUAUGGGUUGUAAACUUCUUUUGUAUAGGGAUAAACCUUUCCACGUGUGGAAAGCUGAAGGUACUAUACGAAUAAGCACCGGCUAACUCCGUGCCAGCAGCCGCGGUAAUACGGAGGGUGCAAGCGUUAUCCGGAUUUAUUGGGUUUAAAGGGUCCGUAGGCGGAUCUGUAAGUCAGUGGUGAAAUCUCAUAGCUUAGCUAUGAAACUGCCAUUGAUACUGCAGGUCUUGAGUAAAGUAGAAGUGGCUGGAAUAAGUAGUGUAGCGGUGAAAUGCAUAGAUAUUACUUAGAACACCAAUUGCGAAGGCAGGUCACUAUGUUUUAACUGACGCUGAUGGACGAAAGCGUGGGGAGCGAACAGGAUUAGAUACCCUGGUAGUCCACGCCGUAAACGAUGCUAACUCGUUUUUGGGCUUUAGGGUUCAGAGACUAAGCGAAAGUGAUAAGUUAGCCACCUGGGGAGUACGUUCGCAAGAAUGAAACUCAAAGGAAUUGACGGGGGCCCGCACAAGCGGUGGAUUAUGUGGUUUAAUUCGAUGAUACGCGAGGAACCUUACCAAGACUUAAAUGGGAAAUGACAGAUUUAGAAAUAGAUCCUUCUUCGGACAUUUUUCAAGGUGCUGCAUGGUUGUCGUCAGCUCGUGCCGUGAGGUGUUAGGUUAAGUCCUGCAACGAGCGCAACCCCUGUCACUAGUUGCUAAUAUUCAGUUGAGGACUCUAGUGAGACUGCCUACGCAAGUAGAGAGGAAGGUGGGGAUGACGUCAAAUCAUCACGGCCCUUACGUCUUGGGCCACACACGUAAUACAAUGGCCGGUACAGAGGGCAGCUACACAGCGAUGUGAUGCGAAUCUCGAAAGCCGGUCUCAGUUCGGAUUGGAGUCUGCAACUCGACUCUAUGAAGCUGGAAUCGCUAGUAAUCGCGCAUCAGCCAUGGCGCGGUGAAUACGUUCCCGGGCCUUGUACACACCGCCCGUCAAGCCAUGGAAGUCUGGGGUACCUGAAGUCGGUGACCGUAACAGGAGCUGCCUAGGGUAAAACAGGUAACUAGGGCUAAGUCGUAACAAGGUAGCCGUA
rnacentral:rRNA from 1 species